GACGAACGCUGGCGGCGUGCUUAACACAUGCAAGUCGAACGGGCCUGUCUUCUUUUUUGGGGGUGGGUUGAGUGGCGAACGGGUGAGUAUCACGUGAGUAACCUGCCCUUCGGUCCUGGAUAACCGCUUGAAAGGGCGGCUAAUACGGGGUGGUCCGGUUGGUCCGCAUGGGCUGGUCGGGAUAGAUUCACUGUUUUUGGUGUUUCGGCGGGGGAUGGGCUCGCGGCCUAUCAGCUUGUUGGUGGGGUGGUGGCCUACCAAGGCGGUGACGGGUAGCCGGCCUGGGAGGGUGGGCGGCCACGCGGGGACUGAGAUACGGCCCAGACUCCUGCGGGAGGCAGCAGUGGGGGGUAUUGCACAAUGGGCGGAAGCCUGAUGCAGCGACGUCGCGUGAGGGAUGGAGGCCUUCGGGUUGUGAACCUCUGUUUCCGGUGGUGAAGGCCCUGUCCGUGUGGUGGGGUUGACGGUAGCCGGGGAUGAAGCGCCGGCUAACUACGUG
rnacentral:rRNA from 1 species